rnacentral:rRNA from 1 species
CACGUAGGGAGCAAGCGUUGUCCGGAUUUAUUGGGCGUAAAGAGCUCGUAGGUGGUUCGGUAAGUCAGGUGUGAAACCUCCAGGCUCAACCUGGAGACGCCACUUGAUACUGCUGUGACUGGAGUCCGGUAGGGGAGCGUGGAAUUCCUGGUGUAGCGGUGAAAUGCGCAGAUAUCAGGAGGAACACCUAUGGCGAAGGCAGCUCGCUGGGACGUUACUGACGCUGAGACGCGAAAGCGUGGGGAGCAAACAGG